UACGAAGGGGGCUAGCGUUGCUCGGAAUCACUGGGCGUAAAGCGCACGUAGGCGGAUCUUUAAGUCAGGGGUGAAAUCCUGGAGCUCAACUCCAGAACUGCCUUUGAUACUGGCGAUCUUGAGUCCGGGAGAGGUGAGUGGAACUGCGAGUGUAGAGGUGAAAUUCGUAGAUAUUCGCAAGAACACCAGUGGCGAAGGCGGCUCACUGGCCCGGUACCGACGCUGAGGUGCGAAAGCGUGGGGAGCAAACAGG
rnacentral:rRNA from 1 species